rnacentral:rRNA from 1 species
UGAGGAAUAUUGGUCAAUGGGCGAGAGCCUGAACCAGCCAAGUAGCGUGCAGGAUGACGGCCCUAUGGGUUGUAAACUGCUUUUAUAAGGGAAUAAAGUGAGUCUCGUGAGACUUUUUGCAUGUACCUUAUGAAUAAGGACCGGCUAAUUCCGUGCCAGCAGCCGCGGUAAUACGGAAGGUCCGGGCGUUAUCCGGAUUUAUUGGGUUUAAAGGGAGCGUAGGCCGGAGAUUAAGCGUGUUGUGAAAUGUAGACGCUCAACGUCUGCACUGCAGCGCGAACUGGUUUCCUUGAGUACGCACAAAGUGGGCGGAAUUCGUGGUGUAGCGGUGAAAUGCUUAGAUAUCACGAAGAACUCCGAUUGCGAAGGCAGCUCACUGGAGCGCAACUGACGCUGAAGCUCGAAAGUGCGGGUAUCGAACAGGAUUAGAUACCCUGGUAGUCCGCACGGUAAACGAUGGAUGCCCGCUGUUGGUCUGAAUAGGUCAGCGGCCAAGCGAAAGCAUUAAGCAUCCCACCUGGGGAGUACGCCGGCAACGGUGAAACUCAAAGGAAUUGACGGGGGCCCGCACAAGCGGAGGAACAUGUGGUUUAAUUCGAUGAUACGCGAGGAACCUUACCCGGGCUUGAAUUGCAGAGGAAGGAUUUGGAGACAAUGACGCCCUUCGGGGCCUCUGUGAAGGUGCUGCAUGGUUGUCGUCAGCUCGUGCCGUGAGGUGUCGGCUUAAGUGCCAUAACGAGCGCAACCCCUCUCCUUAGUUGCCAUCAGGUUAAGCUGGGCACUCUGGGGACACUGCCACCGUAAGGUGUGAGGAAGGUGGGGAUGACGUCAAAUCAGCACGGCCCUUACGUCCGGGGCUACACACGUGUUACAAUGGCAGGUACAGAGAGACGGUCCCUUGCAAAAUGGAUCAAAUCCUUAAAGCCUGUCUCAGUUCGGACUGGGGUCUGCAACCCGACCCCACGAAGCUGGAUUCGCUAGUAAUCGCGCAUCAGCCAUGGCGCGGUGAAUACGUUCCC